AAGUGAUAUUGAUACAGCCACCAACCAACAGAGUUCUGCUUCACAGAAUCGUCUAGCCACAUUGGAUAUUUUUGCUGGUGGUGGUGGCUUAUCUGAGGGUUUACAAAAAGCUGCGCAUCAAAAUCCAAAUGGGCAAUUGAAUACGAAGAACCUGCUGGUGAUGCAUUUUGACUUAAUCAUCCUGAUGCAUUUAGACUUAAUCAUCCUGAAGAAAUGGCUGCGAAACUCGACGAAGAUGAGAUAAAAAAAUCUGCCUCGACCUGGGCAAGUGGAUUUCAUCAACGGUGGCCCACCAUGCCAGGGUUUUUCUGGCAUGAACCUGUUCAAUCAAAGCACGUGGAGCAAGGUUCAAUGCGAAAUGAUAUUGGCGUUUCUGUCAUUUGCUGAGUAUUUAACUCAUUCAGUCAUAUCCGUUACAUAUUUCAGAUUGUUUAACUGAAGGCUCCUGUGAUGAGUCGCAUCUGCGUAAAUAUAUUGAA